CUUGGUCAUUUAGAGGAAGUAAAAGUCGUAACAAGGUUUCCGUAGGUGAACCUGCGGAAGGAUCAUUAUCGAUUUUUAAAGAUGUGCUGGCACUCCUUCACCGGUUUGCAUGUGCACUCUGCAAAAUCUCCUUCUCUUACCCCACUGUGCACACCCAAGUAGACAAACAGAGUUACAGAGCAAUCUGUGUAAUUCCUGAUUUGCUUAUGUUUUUAUCAAACACCAAUAACAAUCUCAGAAUGAUCUAUAUAGUAAGCUUUUAACAAGCUGAAAUUUAAUACGACUUUCAACAAUGGAUCUCUUGGUUCUCGCAUCGAUGAAGAACGCAGCGAAUUGCGAUAUGUAAUGUGAAUUGCAGAAUUCAGUGAAUCAUCGAAUCUUUGAACGCACCUUGCACCCUCUGGCAUUCCGGAGGGUAUGCCUGUUUGAGUGUCAUUAAUCUCUCAACACAAGAAACUUUGUCUCCUUGUGCUUGGAUAUUGAAGGUUUUGCUGGCGCAAACAACUGUCAGCUCCUUUUAAAUGUAUUAGCAGAGCAGUAUAGGACUGGCCUCGGUUUGAUAAGAAACUUUAUCUAUGCUGUCGCUGGGUUUUCCUCUUUGUGCUCAGCUUCAAAUUGUCUUCGGACUGUCUCUUGAGGCAACAAAAUCUCUAUUGAUCGACCUCAAGUCAGGUAGGACUACCCGCUGAACUUAAGCAUAUCAAUAAGCGGAGGA
rnacentral:rRNA from 1 species